GUCAAAAGGAAUUAAGGCUAUAAACCUUCCAUACAAAUUAACCCCUUUUUAACAUUGACAAUGCCACCUCUACCAGGCAGGCAGAUCAUUAAUGCACUACACAAUUUACAUUAAAAGGACAACAUUCCAUAGUGCAAUAAUGAAUUAUGCCCCAUUGCCGUGACACUCCUGUCUGCCAGAACCCUUUUGCAUGUUACACACAUUCAAUAUGUCUUCUGGUCCAG